rnacentral:rRNA from 1 species
UACGGUGAGGGUGCAAGCGUUGUCCGGAAUUAUUGGGCGUAAAGAGCUCGUAGGCGGUCUGUUGCGUCGGCUGUGAAAAACCCGGGGCUCAACCCCGGGCCUGCAGCCGAUACGGGCAGACUAGAGUUCGGCAGGGGAGACUGGAAUUCCUGGUGUAGCGGUGAAAUGCGCAGAUAUCAGGAGGAACACCGGUGGCGAAGGCGGGUCUCUGGGCCGAUACUGACGCUGAGGAGCGAAAGCGUGGGGAGCGAACAGG